rnacentral:rRNA from 1 species
UACGUAGGGUGCGAGCGUUAAUCGGAAUUACUGGGCGUAAAGCGCACGUAGGCGGAUUUGUAAGUCAGGGGUGAAAUCCCGGGGCUCAACCUCGGAACUGCCUUUGAUACUGCAAAUCUCGAGUCCGGAAGAGGUGAGUGGAAUUCCUAGUGUAGAGGUGAAAUUCGUAGAUAUUAGGAAGAACACCAGUGGCGAAGGCGGCUCACUGGUCCGGUACUGACGCUGAGGUGCGAAAGCGUGGGGAGCAAACAGGG